GCCCUGAAGCAGCAUCAGGAACAGUGUCAGGGCCUGUCUAGGCAGAGGACCUGUGUGAACCCUCUGGGAGCAUGAAGCAACCAUCCAGGAGUGUCUUGCAUUCUCAAGAGGAUAAGUGGAGUGUAUGAGAAGAGACACCAAACCAGGAGGGACCUUUCACCAGCACCAGGCAGAUCCUGGUUUUGAGAGCAGAUUAGAUCAUCAAAGUGAGGUUGUUCCUCUGCCACGGCCUGAAGUCAGCAGGGCCAGUAAUCUGGAAGAAGAGAUGAACACGAAGGAUCAACUGGAAUCAAUAAGGAGCACACAGUGAGAAGAAAGAAGCCAUUUGGAAGCCAAGAACCAAAACCUCAUCAGAAACAGGAUUGGUCAGCAUGUGAUCUUGGACUUCCCAGUCUCCAGAACUGUGCAUAACUGAUGAUGGUACAACAACCCAUUUUAAUCCAUAUCUCGAAAGAGAAAAAGAGUGAGAAUAUGAAAUAAAGAUUUGACCUCAAGUCAA